CCGGCCCACACCACAGCCACAGCAACUCAGGAUCUGAGCCGUGUCUUCGACCUACACCACAGCUCAUGGCAACGCCGGAUUGUUAACCCACUGAGCAAGGGCAGGGAUUGAACCCGCAACCUCAUGGUUCCUAGUUGGAUUCGUUAACCACUGUGCCACGACAGGAACUCCGAAUUGGCAAUCUAAUUUUCUUAUCAAUUACUCCUCAGGAGUACUUUUUCCUUCCUGAAAAUCUAUUUGAACAACAUCUAUGGAAUGCCUAUUAUGUUGUAGGCACUGCAUGAAAAUCUUCCCCAGACCAGAGGAAGGAAAAUCUGCAGCCAAAGGGCUUUGAUGAUGUGGAGUUACUACAAACAGGAAGGAAGUGUUUUAACUCAUUCACUCACCCCAAAGCAGGUUCAGUUGUGACUGCUUAGUUUUACUUUGGGGUGGUCUGCAAAUUGGAGACCACCACUCUUAAAUAUUAUCUCCAUUUCUCAGUCAAUCUAGGCACUGGGAACUUCUCUAUUCAAGAGUGAUGUUUUAGAGUUCCCUUUUUGGCUCAGAGGGUUAAGGACCCAAUGUUGCCUCUGAACCAUGAGGUUGCGGGUUCGAUCCCUGGCCUCGCUCAGUGGGUUAAGGAUCUGGUGUUUCGGUGAGCUGUGGCGUAGGUCGCAGAUGCGCCUUGUAUCUGGUGUUGCUGUGACUUUGCUGCAGGCCUCAAUUGCAGCUCUGAUUCGACUUCUGGCCCAUAUGGAGCCUCCAUAUGCUGCUGCAAGUGUGACUAUAAAAAAAAGUGUGAUAUUUUACCAGAAAAGAGGAUUUGGAUGUGGUUGAUCAUUUUGGAACUGAUAAGGUCCUAUGUAAUCUGCUCCUUGGGAUAACUUCAGUAAAGAGAUGCUUGGCUUAGUCUGAAGUCAGGUCAAGGAGUCAACAUGUAAACCUCCUGACUCCUCUCACUCUCCUUCAGAAAGUCUUGUUCUUAGGAAGUAAACUAAUCGAAUCUGACUCUAGAUCAAUGUUACUACUCUUAAAAAUAAAUACAUUUUGAAUGAACGUGGAAUUAAAACUUGUGACCCUAUUAAGGAGUUCUCUUGUGGCAAAGUGGGUUAAGGAUCUGAUGUCACUGCAGUGGUUUAGAUCACUGCUAUGGUGUGGGUUCCAUCCCUGGCCUGGGAACUUUGACAAGGGCAGGUGCAGCCAAUAAAAAAGAAAAUUGUGACAUUAUUUGAAGGAAUUCCAAGAAACAAUAGCAAGUGGGGUGGGAAAGAAUUAUAUUUGGGAUGAGGAAAUUUUCCUGAUCAAAGAGCAGAAUUGAGCAGUUUUUUCAAAAUGCACAUAAACUUCAUGAACAUGUUACAUUGCUUACAUGCUCUUCUCCAUGAAUCUCUGGGAAAAAUUUAAGUGGGAUGUGGUUCUUAAAAAAAGAGAACUUGUAAUCUAGAUAGGAAGAUAAUAAGCCUACUCAAGAAAGAAAUAAGAACAAAUGAGGCCACAGGUAUAUAGACCGGUAGACUCUGAGCAUUUCUUUUCAUGUAUCCCCUAAAAAUAGGAAAAAUGAUAAACUCCUUUAGACAUUUUAAGUUGAUAUCUAGAUUUGAAAAAACUUUCAGCAUAUUUUUCCUUUUUAAAAAUUAUAGUUGAUUUACAAUAUUAUGCCAACAUCUGCUGUACAGCAAAGUGACUCAGUCAUAUUUGUGUGUGUACAUAUACAUACACUCUUUUUAAAAUAUUAUUUUCCAUUAUGGCCUAUCCCAGGAGACUGGAUAUAGUUCCCUGUGCCAUACAGUAGGAACUUGCUGUUUAUCACUUUCAGCAUAUUUUAAAUAUUAAUAUUUAAAAGCAAAACUAUUACACCAGUCUUCAAAACAUAAUCCAAUAGGAUCUGAAUAUCAUAGAGAUUUGAUACUCACCAUUAUUCAAUUUAAAAAGUACAUGAACAAGCUCUUUUUCUUUUUUAACAGAUGGAAAUAAAUAUUAUUCAUUUUUAUCCUUAAACUCAUAUUUCCAUUUCACUUUUCUCACAGAGUUAAAUCAUAAUGUAACAAUUUUUUGGUUGGCAAUCUUUUUUUUUUGCUUUUUUUAGGGUCGCACCUGUGGCAUAUGGAAGUUCUCAGGCUACAGCUGCUGGCCUAUGCCAGCCACAGCCACACAGGAUCCAAGACACCACCUACCACCUACACCACAGCUCACGGCAAUGCUGGAUCCUUAACCCACUCCCACUCACUGAGUGAGGCCAGGGAUCAAACCCUCAUCCUCAUGGGUACUAGUCAGGCUUGUUACCACUGAGCCACAAUGGGAACUUCCUAGGUUGGCAAUCUUUUAUUGAUCAUCUUAUCACACUUCUCUGCAUCAAAAAUAUUUACAUGUUCUAAGGUUUAAAAAUUUCCUAUGACCAUAGGCUGUAAUGAAUAAUCUAGAUUGAUUAUUAUUAAAAUUAUUGUUUAUAUGCAAUUGAUCAAAACAACAUAUAUAUUACUGAGCCUGAUAAAUUAUUGGUGUUAGGCAUAAUCUUUAAUUAGAAA
ensembl:lncRNA